GGACCGAACCGACUUACGUUGAAAAGUGAGCGGAUGAACUGAGGGUAGCGGAGAAAUUCCAAUCGAACUUGGAGAUAGCUGGUUCUCUCCGAAAUAGCUUUAGGGCUAGCCUCAAGUGAUGAUUAUUGGAGGUAGAGCACUGUUUGGACGAGGGGCCCCUCUCGGGUUACCGAAUUCAGACAAACUCCGAAUGCCAAUUAAUUUAACUUGGGAGUCAGAACAUGGGUGAUAAGGUCCGUGUUCGAAAGGGAAACAGCCCAGACCACCAGCUAAGGUCCCAAAAUAUAUGUUAAGUGGAAAAGGAUGUGGCGUUGCCCAGACAACUAGGAUGUUGGCUUAGAAGCAGCCAUCAUUUAAAGAGUGCGUAAUAGCUCACUAGUCGAGUGACACUGCGCCGAAAAUGUACCGGGGCUAAACAUAUUACCGAAGCUGUGGAUUGUCCUUUGGACAAUGGUAGGAGAGCGUUCUAAGGGCGUCGAAGCAUGAUCGCAAGGACAUGUGGAGCGCUUAGAAGUGAGAAUGCCGGUGUGAGUAG
rnacentral:rRNA from 1 species